CUCCUUCAUUAAGGUUCAAUCAAAAUGGACCUAUCUUAUCCAUAUUAAUUUGUUGGUUAAUAAUU